UCAGAGGAUCCCAAGCUGAAUCUCUGUAAGGUCUAAACAGAGCAAGGGGAGGAUCGGAAAGGAGAACUGGACUGCACACUUCUUUUGUUUCUGGAGACCACGCACUGAGAUCCCUUGUACUAACCUGGACUCUAGAUGUGGGGAGAUAGCAACAAACAAAACAAAGUUUUGGCUCCUGUGGGGGUUACACUGAGUGUGCGGAGCUUUGUAAGAUCCCGGCAUCCGUCCUGUCACGCUCAGAACUUCAACAUUCCUGCUUUCCAUCUCCCGCAACGCCAGAA